rnacentral:rRNA from 2 species
UCCCUCUGACAGUCCCUUAACGGGACCUUCUUCGGACAGAGGAGACAGGUGGUGCAUGGUUGUCGUCAGCUCGUGUCGUGAGAUGUUGGGUUAAGUCCCGCAACGAGCGCAACCCUUGUCUUUAGUUGCCAUCAUUCAGUUGGGCACUCUAGAGAGACUGCCGAGGACAACUCGGAGGAAGGUGGGGAUGACGUCAAAUCAUCAUGCCCCUUAUGUCCUGGGCUACACACGUGCUACAAUGGCUGGUACAAAGAGACGCAAGACCGCGAGGUGGAGGCAAAUCUCAAAACCAGUCCCAGUUCGGAUUGUAGGCUGCAACUCGCCUGCAUGAAGUCGGAGUUGCUAGUAAUCGCAGAUCAGAAUGCUGCGGUGAAUGCGUUCCCGGGUCUU